rnacentral:rRNA from 1 species
GUGGGGAAUAUUGGACAAUGGGGGGAACCCUGAUCCAGCCAUGCCGCGUGUGUGAAGAAGGCCUUUUGGUUGUAAAGCACUUUAAGUGGGGAGGAGGCUUACCUGGUUAAUACCUGGGCUAAGUGGACGUUACCCACAGAAUAAGCACCGGCUAACUCUGUGCCAGCAGCCGCGGUAAUACAGAGGGUGCAAGCGUUAAUCGGAUUUACUGGGCGUAAAGCGCGCGUAGGUGGUUAAUUAAGUCAAAUGUGAAAUCACCGAGCUUAACUUGGGAAGUGCAUUCGAUACUGGUUGGCUAGAGUAUGGGAGAGGAUGGUAGAAUUCCAGGUGUAGCGGUGAAAUGCGUAGAGAUCUGGAGGAAUACCGAUGGCGAAGGCAGCCAUCUGGCCUAAUACUGACACUGAGGUGCGAAAGCAUGGGGAGCAAACAGGAUUAGAUACCCCGGUAGUCC